GCUCUGCUCCUCAGAAGAAUUGUCAGUGUGCCCUGUCUUGUGAUGAAGCGCAUGAGCUGAAGAAACAUGAGAGCGUUCAUGUUCUUGUAGAACAGCAUUCAGAAACAGUUCUUGAUGAAAUAUUUACUGUCUCCAGUUUGUAUGAUGGAGGACGCUGUUCAGUGCCAGGUUGUUUUAAGAGGGACACACGGUUCAUGUUAAAAAUAUACGCCAAUAAUGUGCGAGUACCUAAGCUACUGUACGACAAAACGGAUUUACAGCCUGAGUGUGAUACAGAGAAGAAAGAGGAGAGGAGUGGUGCUGACAAGAACUCCUCCAACACACUCCCGAUUUUGCAGAUUUUUUGUGUUUUUGCUGUUUUUAAAUGCCUGUCAAAGAACUGGUGCCAUUUUCACCAUCGAACACACCACUCUACACUGGUCUGAUUCUGAAAUGAUCGUUUUGGACCUCAGACCAACACAAGACUCUCUACAGAUCUUAUCAGACUUUAUAGCAAUAAUGUUUUAAAAAAAUAUUAAAAUUUUAUAUUUUUGCAACAUAUAUAUAUAUAUACAGUGGUGGCCAAAAUUAUCAGAACACUAGUAUUUCCAGCAGCU
rnacentral:lncRNA from 1 species